AAGGAGCACUUCUUACCAGGCUUCGGUUUGGUCAGAGGCCAGUACACCGGCGAAUGUUCGGUGCUGGUUGCUCAUGGGUGGAACGUUGACUAUUCGGCACGACAGGUUGAUCACUGCUAGUACUGCUUCGGCGUGGAACGUGGUGAGGGAUCGGUCGUGUCGGGCGCGCUGUUGGGUGUCUGAAGGUACGGCCGAUAAGGCUGCCUUCGACGCCGGCCCCAGUGAACUCGCCUUCAGGGCGGGGUGAUGGGUGGCUGGUCGUUG
rnacentral:misc_RNA from 1 species